GUUCUUGCAGAGGAGGGGUAUCUCUCAAAGGCGUUCAUAUGGCUCCCCGUCUCUUAAAGCAUAGAUGAGAGUGAGAUGGUCAAACAAUGCCCUCCAUCCUCUAUUUUUCGGGAGACAUGGCCUUGGUGCUAUCCUUACUUUUUUGGUAUGCUAUUUUGGUCCUUCCCGAUUAUGGGUGCAUUUGGCUUGGGUCUCUUCCUUUAAGGCUUAGCUGUGACUUGGUCCCUUUCGAUGCUUCUUUUGGCUUUUCUUCCUCAGGUGAAGGUUCGACUGUGGAUUUGCGGUGAUUCAAUUGUUUGGUUUCCUUUCGUGCGUCAAUAAGAAGAAAUCUCCACCAGUGUCAAUCCUGCCAAUCAAGCUGCGGUGAUACAAGCUUCUCUAGUCUCAAUUUACAACGUGAAGGUUUCUCCUCCUACGAGUCACAGGUUCAAGCAUGAAGCUAUCUCUAUUAGGAUUUCAUGUUGUAGGCUUGAGCCUUCAACUUAAACUGGGGUAGGUUUUGCAUUCAAAGAAAAUUUCUUUUAGGUCAUAGGAUCCGAGAAGGAAGUCAAAUUCA
rnacentral:misc_RNA from 1 species